AACAAGCGAUAUAAAACCGACGUCGCUGCAUUAUGACGUCCUUCGUGGAGACGGUUCCGUAGCGGUAGCCUUUCCACCUCGACAUGAGAGCCAAGUGGAGAAAGAAGCGCAUGCGCAGGCUGAAGCGCAAAAGGAGAAAGAUGAGGCAAAGGUCCAAGUAAGCCGUCCCCUCCGCCAUGGCUGCGACAUCACAUGUUGCCAGGAACCAGACUGGUGAGCGCAGCCGGAGACUCGGGACUUCCAUGUGUCUGGUGUGAGGCCAGUUGCAUCCACCACACCCAACCAGAGGCAUCGAAGCAGCAGCUGACAGAAGACUGAUGUUGGAGAAGUGUUUCAACACCCGUCGGAUGUCAGGCUUUUCCUCUGGUAACCUACAAGGUCACUUACUAACCAAACCUGGAAACAACACUGACUGAAGAGAGAAACUGGUAGUAGAAGAUGUAAUCUCCACUUGAACAUCAUUUGAACAUCACACAUAAAACUCAUGAUCCUGUGACACCAACUUCUGCUUCUGUUGCAGAAGAAAAAAGCUGCUUUGUCAUUGUUCAAGUUACAUUACUGAUUACUUGGUGAUGCAGUUGUUUAUGUGUGCUCGGAGGCAUUUUGGUUAUUCAUGCCAGUUUUAGUCACCGCUGAAAGUCCAAAUGUCAGAAGCUAAUAAUUAGUGAACAUUAGAGCAAGUAUGAAAUUAAAUAACAUAGUUUAUAGAUGACAAAAUAUUGCUAUUGGCUGGUUUGUUGUGAUGUGAUUGAUCACUUUUAAACGGAGACACCACAUGGAUAAAUUCUGUCUCAUCAGCUGGCACAUUUAGGAGCAAAUAAACUCAUUGACGAUUGUUUCAUUUGUUUGUAAUUUUUAUUUUUUUCAUUUUUUUUGUGCUAAGAUUGCAGUGGUUUGUAGAAAUCACAAGCAGACCAGAAAGGAGAUGCUGCUUAAUAUCUCUUGCAAGGAAAUAUUGGUGUCUUUAUGAUCACAGACAGAAUGCAAUAACGAAAAGACAACUGUAAAUACUAAAAUAUGCAUGUCAGAAUGUGGAAAGUUAUAAAAUGAUUUGCAUAUAGUGAUAAUGGUGAGAAUAUAGCUGCAAGAGUAGUGGGAUUAUUAAAAUUUAUUGCACUUAUUGCAACAUUUUGAGCUUGAUCUCUGCAUUUCUUGGAAUCUCACAUCACACUGAAAUCUCGCAGUAUUUUAAACAUAUAAGACGUUGUUGCCUUCAGUCCAUGUGACUCACAGAACCUGUCUGUUGUCAUGUUCUUCAUGCAGCAUAUCUGUGUGCACAAGUGAUCAUCUAACUCUUCACCCUCCGAGCAAAUACAGAUAACCGGCCGUAUCCAGGCAACAGGGAGGCUAUUUAAAGCUUGCCUGUUUUCUAGAAAGGCAUAAAUGAGGCUAUUAAUGAGA
ensembl:lncRNA